GAAUGAGAAAGUUAUAGCAAGCUCCUCCUUCAGGCUGCAAAAUUCAUCAGAGAUCAGAGAAUUGGAAUAACAAUGAGUUUAUCGCGGCUAUAACAGCAAAGGUUGUUACUACCUGGCAACCAGUUAAGCGAUAAAGAAGUUGUUGUAAUGCUGGGAGCUGCUCUAAAAGUUCUUCUCCAUUCAAAAGCCUAGUUCUACAAUGCACCUGAUGUGAAACUCAGGUUUGGUUGAUCUUUCUGCAACAAUAUCAUUUUUCAUUGUCCUAAAA